rnacentral:rRNA from 1 species
CAGUAGCCGCGGUAAUACGUAGGGUGCAAGCGUUAAUCGGAAUUACUGGGCGUAAAGCGUGCGCAGGCGGUUAUAUAAGACAGAUGUGAAAUCCCCGGGCUCAACCUGGGAACUGCAUUUGUGACUGUAUAGCUAGAGUACGGCAGAGGGGGAUGGAAUUCCGCGUGUAGCAGUGAAAUGCGUAGAUAUGCGGAGGAACACCGAUGGCGAAGGCAAUCCCCUGGGCCUGUACUGACGCUCAUGCACGAAAGCGUGGGGAGCAAACAGGAUUAGAUCCCCCGUAGUCCCUGUCUCUUAUACC